AUCUUGGAUUUGUUCCUUUAACACUGACUCUUAGCACAGUCCUGAUUUCUGUAUUAAUGAAUUGAGAAGAUGGCAUGAGGCUCUUAGAAUAAGGAAUUUCUCAUAUAAAAGAUUGUGACUUUAAGUAACUUGUAGAGAAUUAUACCUAAGGGUGUCUUAGAUUUUAAAACACUGCUGCCGUGUUGUUUACCAUGAAUGUAUUUCAACAAGCAGUGAGGAUCCAGUCCAUCACAGAGUAUCCACAACUUUCCAGACCAACAUAUGUGCCAGACAUCUGCAUCGCAGUAGACCGAUCUAUUCAGGAGAAAUUUCAACCCAAUAAAGAAUCAGAAACCAAAUCAAACCACACCUGAGGUGAGAAUUCAGGAGCAAAGAUUGGGGAUGUCUUUCCCAGGAAGAUGUGCGUUAUUAUGGCUGAAACUGCCCAAUGCUGAGAGCAAUUUUCAGAAGAGUUAGAUAUUACUAAAGAAGAUAGAUAUUAGCUAAAGAAGAUUGAAACUGGAGAGGGAGCUCUCACCACACCAACCUAUAUGACAGUGCUACCACCCCAGGAAUAAAGAGUGUUCUUCCAAGGUGAAGAGGGGAGAUCUCCCACUCCUUUUAACAGAGUAGCUUUCCUUUACUUUAAACCCUGUCAACAUAGAAUUUGGCCCAUCAGUCCCCUGACAUGGGGUAAGGUGGGGGAAAACUAGAUUGAAAUAAAAGGAGAUUGACAGAUUGAUUUCCUUCCUGAUCCUGAUUGCCACCACCAACUACUAGAGUAAUGAAAGUUAUUUGUGGUGCUGCAAUAAUUCCCAAUAUUUCUGGUUUAAAUGAUUGUGCUAUAUGGUAGAAUCUCAGCAAACGAGUUGAGAACAAGACUGGAAAUGUGUUUUAGAGUGGUGUAGUGUACAAGUAGCUCAUCAGAAAUCUCUGCUCAUUAUUUCUAGGUAUUUGUUUUCAUGUUCCAUUGAAUGAUCAUUUAAGAGAGUGUACUUGUGUUGAUGCCUGUAGGGAGGAGCAAAUGAAUAUGCAAAUAAUAAUAAUGUACGUGAUGAGAUUUUACUAUUUGAAUAUCAAUAUGCUAGAUAUUUUACUAUAUGUUGUCAUAGUGUAGGACCAGCUGAUCACAUUUCACUGAGUAUUUCUAUAAAAACAGUUUUGUGAUUUACUGAAGGUCAAAUGUACACAUACACACGAGCAUGUAUUAAAGCUGUGUAAACCAUUUUCCACAUAACAGACAGCUGGCACAAUUUUGCCAGAAAAGCUGACACUUAUGAAUGAAAAAUAAAGCAAACAGAAACCUGUUACCUGGGAGGAUAAUGGGACAGCUUCAGAGCAUGGAGUAAAUUCUGCUGGUCUUGACAUGGAGACACUGGCUGAAUUUUGUCCACGAGAUGUUAGCAACAUUCAGAUUCCUCAUGGGAAGAGUGGGGAGAGGGAAGGGCACUCAGUGGGGGAGUAGGGUCUUUUAGCACAUAUGGAAAAACACACAUAGAAAUGAUGAAAAAAUGUGUUUAAGCAGCAAAAGCAGCAUGUACAGUAACCCUGUAACAGAGUUUGAAAGCAGGGACUUUUCUUGAAAAUAAAAAUAAUGCACACAACAUUAGUUUGUUUUGGUGGGAGAGAGAAUGCAAGGAAGAUGGAGGGGCGGAUUGGAGCCUGCGAGUGAUAGCAACAACCACCAAAUGGGGGAUAGAGAAACAAAGAAGGAAGGAAAGAGCAGAGAUAAAAGC